UCUCUCGAGAUAUUUCGCCUGGUCUCUCGAAGGACCCCGUAAAGCCCGUUCCACCGCUUGGCCGCUGUUUGGCUCUAUAAAAACGCCCCACUCCAUGUGCGUCUUCCAUCUCGGCUGCGCCAUAAUCCCGGCUCCUUCUCUCCCGACGCCCCUCCCGUUGAAUACAGCGUGAGCUCUGCCCUGUUGAUGUCCGAUCCAGCGCCGUCGAUUUCUCCAUGGAGUGCAUGGGGUUCUAUCCUAGGUCGCUCGCCGGUCACGGGCUCUCCCUGCCCUGUGCGACUCCUCCGCAGUGUGGUCAUCCUCCCGCGCGAGCGCGGGUGUACCGCCGUCGUCGAGAUGAACCGCGCCGCCUUCGGUCGCUGCCGCAGCAGGUAUGCAUUAGGAGCGGGCGCCUCUUUUUACCACGGGAAUCAAAUGCUGCUGGCCCCUGAUCUGGAUGACCAGACCUGCAGCCAACUCUUGAUAUGGACGCAUGAAUAGUGCAGGAGCUAGCAAAGCUGCCGCUCGCCAUAUGGAACACCAGUACCACCGUGGGAAGGUAGAAGCACAAAUAGAAGCUGCUCUUUCUUCCUGGCCGAGUAUGGAUCAAGCGUCUCGGUCAUUAGCUUGGCAGCUAUGCAACAUGCCGUCUCGCCAGCACAACUUCAACCCAUCUGCACAGGUUCAGCGACGCCCCCCUUUCCAUGUCCUCUCGAUGGCAGGAUUACCUCGAUCUCUGGUGCAGCCGUGGAGUUCUGGUUCUUCUUUCUCGCUUGCAGAAGAUAAGCUUUCUAAGCACAAGACUCUUCAGCUUACUGAAAACUUUCUUACCCACAAAACUUCUUGUUGAUAUCUAAAAACGAACUGAUAGGACAACUUCAUAAUCUUACACGUUUAUAGCUUAGGACCUGCUAUUUGUCUCACUUCAUUCAUCUGCAUGCGAGUUGCAUUUGGGUCUCCUGAGAGCCAAUUAAUGAAUGCAUAGGCUUUCAUUUCGA